rnacentral:rRNA from 1 species
UUGAACGCUGGCGGCAUGCUUUACACAUGCAAGUCGAACGGUAACAGGUUAAGCUGACGAGUGGCGAACGGGUGAGUAAUGCAUCGGAACGUGCCCGAUCGUGGGGGAUAACGCAGCGAAAGCUGCGCUAAUACCGCAUACGAUCUGAGGAUGAAAGCGGGGGACCGUAAGGCCUCGCGCGAUCGGAGCGGCCGAUGUCAGAUUAGGUUGUUGGUGGGGUAAAAGCUUACCAAGCCUGCGAUCUGUAGCUGGUCUGAGAGGACGACCAGCCACACUGGAACUGAGACACGGUCCAGACUCCUACGGGAGGCAGCAGUGGGGAAUUUUGGACAAUGGGCGCAAGCCUGAUCCAGCAAUGCCGCGUGCAGGAUGAAGGCCUUCGGGUUGUAAACUGCUUUUGUACGGAACGAAACGGCUCUUUUUAAUACAAGGAGUUAAUGACGGUACCGUAAGAAUAAGCACCGGCUAACUACGU